GAAGAUUCGAACCUGCCGCAGGUUCGGGUCGAACGCAGUGAGACAACGGAGCCGUUUACGGCGACGGCCCGAAGGGCGAGCGAAGCGAGUCAUCCUGCACGACCCACCA
rnacentral:sRNA from 5 species